rnacentral:rRNA from 1 species
GACGAACGCUGGCGGCGUGCUUAACACAUGCAAGUCGAACGGAAAGGCGCUGCGUUUGUGGGGUGCUCGAGUGGCGAACGGGUGAGUAAAACGUGAGUAACCUGCCCCUGACUGUGGGAGAACAUCAGGAAACAGGGGCGAAUACAGGAGAGGAGCUCCUGCAGCACGGGGGGGGUUGGAAAGAGUCGGCGGUUGUGGAUGGACUCGCGGCUUAUCAGCUGGAUGGGGGGGUAGUGGCUGCCCAAGCCUGUGACGGCUAGCCGGCCUGGGAGGUUGACCGGCCACCAUGCGCCUGAGAUACGGCCCAGUCUGCUACGGGCGGCAGCAGUCGGGAAUCUUGCAGAGUGGGCGGACGCCUGAUGCAGCGACGCCGCGUGCGUGAUGCCGGCCUUCGGGUUGUAAACCGCUUUCGACUGUGACGAAGCGUGAGUGACGGUAAUGGGUCAAGAAGCACCGGCUAACUACGUG